GACGAACGCUGGCGGCGUGCUUAACACAUGCAAGUCGAACGGUGAAGCGCCUUCCUUUUUGGUGGGUGUGGAUGAGUGGCGAACGGGUGAGUAACACGUGAGUAACCUGCCCCCUUCUUCUGGAUAACCGCAUGAAAGUGUGGCUAAUACGGGAUAUUCUGGGUCUGUCGCAUGAUGGGUCUGGGAAAGAUAUUGUUUCGGUGGGGGAUGGGCUCGCGGCCUAUCAGCUUGUUGGUGGGGUGAUGGCCUACCAAGGCGGUGACGGGUAGCCGGCCUGAGAGGGUGGCCGGCCACAUGGGGACGGAGACACGGCCCAUACUCCUACGGGAGGCAGCAGUGGGGAAUAUUGCACAAUGGGCGCAAGCCUGAUGCAGCGACGCCGCGUGAGGGAUGGAGGCCUUCGGGUUGUGAACCUCUUUCGCCAGUGAAGCAGGCCUGCCUCGUUUGUGGGUGGGUUGACGGUAGCUGGAUAAGAAGCGCCGGCUAACUACGUG
rnacentral:rRNA from 1 species